rnacentral:lncRNA from 1 species
AUGGCCCGGAGCCUGACUGUGGACAGGACAGAGACGUUCGUCCCCACGAGGCGGUAUUUCAGGCUCACGAGCUUGGCUAUGUGGCAGACGCCGAGCCACGGGUGCUGGUUCCACAGUGACCUGCGGCUGGUGGCAGUUCCGCCCUCCCUGGGAGUGUUUCGGGACAGACCCACGGGGACACCGCACAGACCGGCACCUUGCUCGUGCACAGGGCGGACUCCAGGCGCAUUCACGGAGGGCUCACUCCCGCCCUGCAGAGCCGCAGGCAGAGGCCGGGCUCGGCACACGAGGUGGGGUGAAGGCCACAGCUGCACAGACCCAAGGGAAGGACAUGACAGAUGGGGGCUCUGUCACGCCCCCACGCCCCUGUGCACUGCAGGACGGGCUGUCCACGCCCCUGUGCACUGCAGGACGGGCUGUCCACGCCCCCACGCCCCUGUGCACUGCAGGACGGGCUGUCCACGCCCCUGUGCACUGCAGGACGGGGCUGUCCACGCCCAUGUGCACUGCAGGACGGGCUGUCCGUGCCCCUGUGCACUGCAGGACGGGCUGUCCGUGCCCCUGUGCACUGCAGGACGGGGCUGUCCGUGCCCCUGUGCACUGCAGGACGGGCUGUCCACGCCCCUGUGCACUGCAGGACGGGGCUGUCCGUGCCCCUGUGCACUGCAGGACGGGGCUGUCCGUGCCCCUGUGCACUGCAGGACGGGGCUGUCCGUGCCCCUGUGCACUGCAGGACGGGGCUGUCCACGCCCCUGUGCACUGCAGGACGGGGCUGUCCACGCCCAUGUGCACUGCAGGACGGGCUGUCCGUGCCCCUGUGCACUGCAGGACGGGCUGUCCACGCCCCUGUGCACUGCAGGACGGGCUGUCCACGCCCCUGUGCACUGCAGGACGGGCUGUCCACGCCCCUGUGCACUGCAGGACGGGCUGUCCACGCCCCUGUGCACUGCAGGACGGGCUGUCCACGCCCCUGUGCACUGCAGGACGGGCUGUCCACGCCCCCACGCCCCUGUGCACUGCAGGACGGGGCUGUCCGUGCCCCUGUGCACUGCAGGACGGGCUGUCCACGCCCCUGUGCACUGCAGGACGGGGCUGUCCACGCCCCUGUGCACUGCAGGACGGGCUGUCCACGCCCCCACGCCCCUGUGCACUGCAGGACGGGGCUGUCCACGCCCCUGUGCACUGCAGGACGGGCUGUCCGUGCCCCUGUGCACUGCAGGACGGGCUGUCCACGCCCCUGUGCCCUGCAGGACGGGGCUGUCCGUGCCCCUGUGCACUGCAGGACGGG